UACAGAGGUCUCAACCGUUGUUCGGAUUCAUUGGGCGUAAAGGGUGCGUAGGCGGUCGCGCAAGUCGGAUGUGAAAUCUUGGGGCUCAACCCCGAAACUGCAUUCGAUACUGCGUGGCUCGAGUACUGGAGAGGAGACUGGAAUUUACGGUGUAGCAGUGAAAUGCGUAGAUAUCGUAAGGAAGGCCAGUGGCGAAGGCGAGUCUCUGGACAGUUACUGACGCUGAGGCACGAAGGCCAGGGAGCAAACGGG
rnacentral:rRNA from 1 species